CGACAGCAAGCAGGGCAAAUCCGACCAUGGCAAAGGUGACGCCAAGCCAUCGAAGAUCUAUGGAAGCAGCGACGGCGGGGCUUCAUCCAACAGCCGACGCCAUAAGGACCGGUCAGCUCCACCAUUUCCUUCCAAGUCAGGAGGCAAGCCCCACGGGGUGGAGUACACCCGUUUGUCGCCGCCCUUACCGGCACCGGGCAUCACGGCGACACGGAGUUCACGCUCCCGACGAAAUCACAGCUCGGAGACUUCCGAGGGCAACAUCGUUGCGAUUGACUCCGAUGCUCCCCUAGAUGUUCCUGAGGUACGUAAAAAAACUUAUGUACCUUUUUGUGUGCCCAUCCUCAUCUUCAUACAUGCACAUAGGACAAGCUUGAGGAUGUGCUCCCGCAUGUGCCCGUGAGUGAUGGCGCACAACGGUUGCUGAGUGAGGCGGUUGAUCAGGUGGAUCGGUCUCCUUUAGUGGCGAAGUCCAUAUCUACAGCGAGAGAUAAUCUCGCGACGCCG
rnacentral:lncRNA from 1 species